rnacentral:rRNA from 1 species
UACGUAGGGUGCGAGCGUUACUCGGAAUUACUGGCGUAAAGCGUGCGCAGGCGGUGCUGUAAGACCGAUGUGAAAUCCCCGGGCUUAACCUGGGAACUGCAUUGGUGACUGCAGCGCUGGAGUAUGGCAGAGGGGGGUGGAAUUCCACGUGUAGCAGUGAAAUGCGUAGAGAUGUGGAGGAACACCGAUGGCGAAGGCAGCCCCCUGGGCCAAUACUGACGCUCAUGCACGAAAGCGUGGGGAGCAAACAGG